GUCGCACGAGAAAGGGCUUCGGCCCCAGUAAAGUGGCGCACGGGUGAGUAACACGUAGGUAAUCUACCCUCGAGCAGGGGAUAACCCUCCGAAAGGAGAGCUAAUACCGCAUAAGACCACGGCUCACGAGAGUCGCGGCCAAAGCGGGCCUCUUCACGAAAGCUCGCACUUGAGGAUGAGCCUGCGGCCCAUCAGCUUGAUGGCGGUGUAAAAGACCACCAUGGCUAAGACGGGUAGCUGGUCUGAGAGGAUGAACAGCCACACUGGAACUGAGACACGGUCCAGACUCCUACGGGAGGCAGCAGUGGGGAAUCUUGCGCAAUGGGCGAAAGCCUGACGCAGCGACGCCGCGUGAGUGAUGAAGGCCCUCGGGUUGUAAAGCUCUGUGGGGAGGAAAGAAUAAGGACGGGUUAAUACCCCGUCUGAUGACGGUACCUCCUUAGCAAGCACCGGCUAACUCUGUGCCAGCAGCCGCGGUAAGACAGAGGGUGCAAACGUU
rnacentral:rRNA from 1 species